rnacentral:rRNA from 1 species
CAGCGCCACGAGUGGGAACCAUUUUUAUUUGGUCUAAAGCGUCCGUAGCUGGUUUUUUAAAUCUCUUGUGAAACUGUUGAACUAAAUUUAACAACGUGCAGGAGACACUGAAAGACUAGAAACCGGGAGGGGUCAGGAGUAUUUCAGGGGUAGCGGUAAAAUGCUAUAAUCCCUGAAGGACUACCUGUGGCGAAAGCGCCUGACCAGAACGGAUUUGACAGUGAGGGACGAAAGCCAAGGGAGCGAACCGGAUUAGAUACCCGAGUAGUCC